ensembl:rRNA 5S_rRNA 5S ribosomal RNA
GCCAGCAGCCAUAUCACUCUGCAACUCACAACUAGCAACCCACUGAAGCUAAGCAGGUGUGAGCCUGGUCAGUACCAGGAUGGGAGACCUCCUGGGAAAAACUAAGGUUGCUGCUGGAA